AUGGUGCUCAUCUCUUUGCUUUUGUUCUGUACUCUUGCAUAUGUCAGCUUUGGGAAUGUCAUCACACCAGUCCAGCCUGAGGUGUUUGGGACAGAGGGGGACAAUAUAACUCUGUCCUGUAACUACUCUUCAGCAGUUAGUCUGCAGUGGUAUCGCCAAUAUCCAAACUCAGCUCCUGAAUACCUUUUGAUAAUACUACAUAGGACAGGGAAAGUUUCACAGAAGUCUAAAAUUGUAGAACAAGAUCCUCGAUUCUCUGGAAAAGUGAAUGAAAAGAAAACCCAUGUGGAUCUGGAGAUCUCCUCUGCUAAAGUGACUGACUCUGCUCUGUACUACUGUGCUCGUUCCAGAGCCUCAGAAGUCAUCACUCCAAAUAGUGACAGAGAAUUUGCUCUUGAGGGUGACAAUGUGACACUCUCCUGUAACUACAGCAGUUCUGCUCGCGGUGUUCACUGGUAUCGGCAAUACGCAGGAUCACCACCACAGUUCCUCAUACUGGAAGAUUCAGGGGUUACAAUUCAAGCUAAUCCACCCGUUCCAGGAAUAAACAUCAAACACAGAAAAACAGAAAGCCAUGUGGAUCUGAUCAUCUCCUCUGCUAAAGUGUCAGACUCUGCUCUGUACUACUGUGCUCUGGAGCCCACAGUGACAGGAAAACAAACUACACUGUGCAAAAACCUGUAUUUCAGGAAAGUAUAA